GUCCGAUUAGCUGGUUGGUGAGGUAACGGCUCACCAAGGCGACGAUCGGUACCUGGUCUGAGAGGAUGAUCAGGCAGACUGGGACUGAGACACGGCCCAGACUCCUACGGGAGGCAGCAGUUAGGAAUUUUGGGCAAUGGGCGCAAGCCUGACCCAGCAACGCCGCGUGGGUGACGACGGCCUUCGGGUUGUAAAGCCCUUUUCUGAGGGAAGAUGAUGACGGUACCUCAGGAAGAAGCACCGGCUAACUACGUGCCAGCAGCCGCGGUAAUACGUAGGGUGCAAGCGUUGCCCGGAUUUAUUGGGCGUAAAGGGCGUGUAGGCGGCAGGGCAAGUCAUGCGUGAAAUCUCCCGGCUCAACUGGGAGGGGUCGCGUGAUACUGCUCGGCUUGAGCAAGGUAGGGGGCAGUGGAAUUCCCGGUGUAGUGGUGGAAUGCGUAGAUAUCGGGAGGAACACCAGUGGCGAAGGCGGCUGCCUGG
rnacentral:rRNA from 1 species